rnacentral:rRNA from 1 species
GUCAGCGGCCAUAGGAAGGGGGAAACACCCGAUCCCAUCUCGAACUCGGAAGUUAAGCCCCUUUACGGUUUUGCCUGUACUGUCCUACGGACGGGAACGCGGACUGCUGCUGACA